rnacentral:rRNA from 1 species
GCGCCUAACACAUGCAAGUCGAACGAGAAAGGGGAGCAAUCCCUGAGUACAGUGGCGUACGGGUGAGUAACACGUGGGUAAUCUGCCCUUUGGUGGGGAAUAACCCUGGGAAACCGGGGCUAAUACCGCAUAAGUCCGAGAGGAGAAAGCAGCAAUGCGCCGAAGGAGGAGCCCGCGGCCGAUUAGCUAGUUGGUAGGGUAAGAGCCUACCAAGGCAAAGAUCGGUAGCCGGCCUGAGAGGGCACACGGCCACACUGGCACUGAAACACGGGCCAG